GCCUUAAAGAGCAAUGCAUUUCUCUGCUCAGAACUUACUGGGGAAGCUUAGAGGACAGAGCCAGGGCAGUCAGAGCACCAGCAAUGGGAGCCUCCAGCAUUCAGACAUGGUGCAAGUUCAUACAGUCAAAGUCAGGAAACUCAAAGAUGUGGAAGGAUCAAGAGCUUUACAGAGGAGCUGUUGUCGAGCUUCAGAGACAA